rnacentral:rRNA from 1 species
AGUAACGCGUGAGUAACCUGCCUUUCAGAGGGGGAUAACGUUCUGAAAAGAACGCUAUACCGCAUGAGACUACAGAGCUGCAUGGCUCAGUGGUCAAAGGAGCAAUCCGCUGAAAGAUGGACUCGCGUCCGAUUAGAUAGUAGGCGGGGUAACGGCCCACCUAGUCGACGAUCGGUAGCCGGACUGAGAGGUUGAACGGCCACAUUGGGACUGAGACACGGCCCAGACUCCUACGGGAGGCAGCAUG